rnacentral:pre_miRNA from 1 species
AGCUAUAAUGGUUGUCAUUUGUACGGUAUACAGGUAUAAAUGCAACCAUUAUUGCUAC